AACCAAGUUCCAGUCCUGUAGUUAAUGUAGCCUUAACAUUUGAGCAUUAGAAUAUUUUGGAGUUUGUUGUCCAUAUGUAUAUAUAUGUAUGUAUAGUCAAACCUCAAAUUUCAAACAAUUUAGUUCAUGAACAGAGUUUCAAAUUCAUAAUUGUCCUGGUUGCCUUAUGAUAACUAAGUUGCUGAACAAGCUACUCAGCAAGAACCAGCAACAGAUUAGAGAGAGAGAGAGAGAGAGAGUCUACUCCUUAUAUUUCCUAUCUUAAAGAAAGUUGAUGGUCUGACUAAUCAACAACAUGACUACCAAUUCAGUAAUUAGUGAUACUGAGAUCACCUUGCGUCAAGUCUUGUAUAUUCUGUAGUGCAAAAUGUUGUGAGACUGGAAUUAAUUAGAAGAGAAGAAACUGGAACUGAAAUAAACAUCAAUGAAGAAUUUAAUCAAAUGCAAAUUUGGUGAAAAAGCAGAAGAGAGUUAUAGUUCUGAAAAUCAGCUUAUUGUAAUCACUUUUGGAACCUGCAUCAGCCUACCACUUUGGAGAGAGAGAAAUGAAUCUAAGUGAACAAAAAACCUCAAGACUUUCGUAGAUAGUAUCUGUCCAUAUACAUCAGGUCCUCACCAUCCAGUUAUCAUUGUGAACCUAGCUAAACCCACAAUGGAUAUGGGAAAAAAAGGCCCUCUUAGUGCCUACAGGACAAAGCCAAAAAUGCAUUUGCUUCAAUAACCAAAUUUUAUUUUAUUUCAAAGUGUCAUCUGAAGAUAAUUUGCAUUAAUAUUAUGUUAAAACAAUUUGUUAUACUGUUCAACUAAUUAAUUUUAAUUUGAAACUAAUGUUCUAGUCCAUUUCACAAAUGAUUGUGAAUAUUCCAGGUAAUUCUUUCAAAUCACAUAUAUAUUUCUCUCUCUAAGUAAAAGCCUUUGGAAGAAUUGAGAGGAACCUAUUGAUGAUAGAUAAUUAACUGGUGAAACAGACCAUAUGCUACUUGACUUUGAAUAGUUGUUUUUGCAAAUUGAAAAGGCAAGAAUAAGCUAUAAAAGCAUAAAAGAUGGAUGAAAAUCAAAUGAUUAGCAUUCAUCAUUUAAAAUGUGUUUUGAAAUGUGAAAAUGAAUAAAGAAUGAUUUUAUACAGACUUAAUUUUUACAUUUUUUUUCUAAAAAUGGUAACUUCAUUAUUUUCUAGAAAUUAUUUUGAGAAACAUUUUCAUAGAUAGAACUAGAUGGGACAGUGAAUAAUAAUUGUACAAGGUAACUUCAAAUAGUUCCUGGAAUUGGUUUAUUACUCAAAAGUAUGUGUA
rnacentral:lncRNA from 1 species